rnacentral:rRNA from 1 species
AGAGUUGAUCAGUGGCUCAGGACGAACGCUGGCGGCGUGCUUAACACAUGCAAGUCGAGCGAUGAAGCUCUUCGGAAGUGGAUUAGCGGCGGACGGGUGAGUAACACGUGGGUAACCUGCCUCAUAGAGGGGAAUAGCCUUUCGAAAGGAAGAUUAAUACCGCAUAAGAUUGUAGUACCGCAUGGUACAGCAAUUAAAGGAGUAAUCCGCUAUGAGAUGGACCCGCGUCGCAUUAGCUAGUUGGUGAGGUAACGGCUCACCAAGGCGACGAUGCGUAGCCGACCUGAGAGGGUGAUCGGCCACAUUGGGACUGAGACACGGCCCAGACUCCUACGGGAGGCAGCAGUGGGGAAUAUUGCACAAUGGGGGAAACCCUGAUGCAGCAACGCCGCGUGAGUGAUGACGGCCUUCGGGUUGUAAAACUCUGUCUUUGGGGACGAUAAUGACGGUACCCAAGGAGGAAGCCACGGCUAACUACGUGCCAGCAGCCGC